rnacentral:tRNA from 1 species
GAGGUUAUAGCUCAAGUGGUAGAGCACAUGCUUAGCAUGCAUGAGGUCCUAGGUUCAAUACCCACUACCUCCU